rnacentral:lncRNA from 1 species
AUGGUAAUUAGGUGUGGUUGUUUUAAAAACUGCUGUCUUCAGUUCUGGUUGAAUGUUGAAAGGAGUGGGCAAGUGCUAGCGUUUGAGGGAUUGUAUCGCAUAAGCGAUUUCUCGUUUUCCAGCAGAGGCAGUAACGGGGGGGGGGGUGGGGAGGGAGUGUCUCGCCCUCAGUGCAAAGUGGAGGGCUGGCCCGGACCCGGCCUCGGCUGGGUCUGUGUGGCUAAGACUAUACUUUCAGGGAUCAUUUCUAUAGUCUGUGACUGGAGAAGUUUCUCUGAACGUGUAGAGCACCCGAAACCACGAGGAGAACACCGUCUGAGUGGUUUUGUGAUGUAUCUUGUGUUGUCUGUGGUAGUGUUAUUUUCCUUCCUGUGUUAUGCUCAAGGUUAAUCCUCUUGGCAUCUAGGUUUGUGCAAAGUUCUUUGAAUUUCUUGCUGUUUCUCUUUAGUUUCAGCCUGUAUUUUAUUUUGAGCUUUAUAAGACAAGGAGUCUCUAGCUUUUUGUGUUUGGGGUGUUUUUCCUUUUCUCUUGAUACUUGGAAAAGUGAGUUUUUUCAUGUGUGUUUUUGAAUCUUCUAAAAUAUUUCUUGGCUCAGCUGAGUUUUAUUUUUGUGUCUUUUUAGGGCAGGAACCUCAGCAUAUGGAGGUUCUCAGGCUAGGGGUUAAGUCUGAGCUGUAGCUGCUGGCCUGCUACGCCACAGCAACAUUGGAUCCGAGCCUGGUGAUCAAGCCCGUGUCCUCACUGUUGCGUGUCAGAUUUGUUACUGCUGAGCCAUGACGGGUACUUACAUCAUUUUUUAUUACGGUAGAAUAUAGACUUUAUUUUUAUUUUGUUUUUGCCAUAUUUUUGUUUGUAUUCUUAGCGUCGCGCCUGCGGACAUGGACGUUCCCAAGCUAGGGGUAGAAUCGGAGCUGUAGCUGCCGGCCUGUGAUGGAGGCCUGGAAACAAACCCUCGUCUUCAUGGAUCCUGGUCGGGUUUGUUACCACGGAGCCACUACUAGAAUUCCUUUUUUCGUCAUAUUUCUAAUUAUCCUGGAUCCUGAAC